GUAAAGGUUCAAAAAGCAACUAGACAAACUUUAAACCAAGUAAGACAUAUUAAGCUGAAAUUAUUGCUUUAUUCAUGCGUGUUCUGUGGUUAAACAUUGCCGUAAUUUAUGGCUGCUUUUCAUGUGCAUUAUUGUGUGGAUUUGGUUAGAUGAGCAGCUGCCAAAGGGCCACUGUUAACUGAGUAAAUACAAACAGAAGGAACCAUUCUCAGUGUAAGUCAUGAACUAGGUCACAUUGCGAGAUAAAGAACUUUAAUGACAGAUGAAUCUGAGAGGCCAGGUAACAUGAAGACCAGUCUGUUGGAUGCAACUCAAGAUAAUGUGCUAAUCCACUGAAGUGCUGUGUCAGAUCUCACUGACCGGCGUGUAAAAUGAGGAGUUUGACUGAUAGCUGAUCUUUGGAAGCCUGGGUUCCUAAGGUUCAACAGUCUCUGGUGAAGCAGAUAUAUUCCAUUGUAUUUGGAAAAAACAGGAAGUGAAUUUCUGAAGAAACUGAUUAGCAAAACAGGCAUGAUUCAUAAAGACAGAUUUGGAGCAUCUGUUAGGUCUAGCUCCAAAUUAAAGUUACUAGGAUCACCUGGAAAAGUAAACAUACUCUAUUAUCACAAAGGCAUCCAAUUGUUAUAGUCCCUAUUUAGAAUCAAUAAUUAAUGGAAUAAAGGUAAAGUGCCACACUGUAUUAAUUGAAAUUGUUAAAAGCCAUUUCUGUGCAACUAGUGCGGAAUUGCAAAAAUAAUGACCAUUGGUUGAGCUGAUGUUGGUCAGUAUGUUUUUACAUAUUCCAGAGGAAUCAGCAAACCAGUGGCUUUUAACAUUAUUAAAAUUGCACACUCCACUUUUAUUAUUUGGUUGUUAAGUCAGACGUCAUGUGUCACAGUUUCUGGGUCCAAACCAUACAGUCUAUGGUCCAAACGCUUCUUUAGACGCCAAAAAGCAAACAACAAACAAUGAUAAUAAGCACUCAGUGUGUGCUGCAGUCCUACUGAAAAUCAUUAACCUAAUUUUUAUAUCCAGACCCCAAUCUAAGUAGGCUACAUAGUGAUUAUUGUUUAAAAAAAUAAUAA
ensembl:lncRNA